GACGAACGCUGGCGGCGUGCCUAAUACAUGCAAGUAGAACGCUGAAGGAGGAGCUUGCUUCUCUGGAUGAGUUGCGAACGGGUGAGUAACGCGUAGGUAACCUGCCUGGUAGCGGGGGAUAACUAUUGGAAACGAUAGCUAAUACCGCAUAAGAGUAGAUGUUGCAUGACAUUUGCUUAAAAGGUGCAAUUGCAUCACUACCAGAUGGACCUGCGUUGUAUUAGCUAGUUGGUGAGGUAACGGCUCACCAAGGCAACGAUACAUAGCCGACCUGAGAGGGUGGUCGGCCACACUGGGACUGGGACACGGCCCAGACUCCUACGGGAGGCAGCAGUAGGGAAUCUUCGGCAAUGGACGGAAGUCUGACCGAGCAACGCCGCGUGAGUGAAGAAGGUUUUCGGAUCGUAAAGCUCUGUUGUAAGGGAAGAACGAGUGUGAGAGUGGAAAGUUCACACUGUGACGGUAUCUUACCAGAAAGGGACGGCUAACUACGUG
rnacentral:rRNA from 1 species